rnacentral:tRNA from 1 species
GGGUCAAUAGCUCAAUUGGUAGAGCACCGGGCUUUUAACCCGUAGGUUCAGGGUUCGAGUCCCUGUUGACCCA